rnacentral:lncRNA from 1 species
CACCGGAGUGCUAGCUCUCUUAUAGAAAUCGCUUCCUAGAUUAUCGAAUCUAUUUGAUUUUUUUAUUCUCUUCUCAAGAAAAUCAAAUAGAUCUAAAAGAGGAUGAUGAAAUCAGAUCACAUCUGAUUUUUUUUUUUACUUUUCUCUUCUCAAGAGAAAAAUCAAAGAUCUAUUGAAGAAGAUAAGAGAUCUAUUUUUUUUUCCUUUCUUGUCCAACCCUUGGACUAGAUCUAAAAAAGAGAGGAGAAUUUUUAUGUCUAUCUCAUGGACUAAGAAGGAGAGAAAAAAAUUAGAUCAAAUCUGAUUUUAUGUCCAAUCUUUAAACAUCUAUGGAG